ensembl:lncRNA novel transcript
UUUGCUUUCGUCUUUCCUUUUUCGGCUUUAAGUGCUCCCGUCACACCAGUGAUUCGAACAUUUCAGAGAAACACAACGGAGGGAAGGAGCCCGGCCCUGCCUUGUCAGCGCCCUGGAAGACCUGGCUUCCUCCCUGACACUCACUCUGGGGAGGGAAGACACCCGUGCGCCUCGCUCCCUCGUGGCCAGUGGCUUCCCCGGUGGGCUAGGGCGUGUCAGCAGGGCGUGCCCACCGAGGGAGCAACAGCGAUUCCCAGGCCUAACGCUUUUCAAAUCAAAAGCGCCUGACGCUUUUUACAACCGAGCAGAAUAGGGCUGUUCCAGGUGGCUGACGCUUCCCGUGGCGGGGAGGGGGUUAUGGAGAACGUGGAUGAAGCUCAUCGUGUAAGACGGGAAAUGCCACUGGAAGUGAGCGUCCCUGCACCAGGCCGCGUCCCGCCCAGAGUGAGGCACGGCCGCCCCCUCGCUCAGAACCUGCAGCCCGGCCGGGCUGAUGCGGGAAGCCGGCCCCGCCUGUGAGCGCGCAGUUCUCCCUGGAGACGGGCCACCCUCACCCUGUGCCUGCGUCCCCUCCCAGCCCUCGUCCCUGCUCUCUACCCACGACCCGGCCUGGGGUGCCUCGGACGGAUCUCCUGCCAUUUCCUGCAUUCUGCAGGAGCACUCAUUGAAAAUUUGGGUGGCCUUGCUUAUUUAUUUUCCUGGAAUGCAGUGGGUUCUAUUUCCGUGGUAUUUUCUCAGCAGUGCAGCGUUUCCAUUUCAAACUACAAGAAGAAGAAGAAAAGCCAGUCCCCGUCAGCACGCAAACACACAACAGAAAAAAACGUCCCGGGUUUGACUCGCAGUCCUGCCUUUAUAAAUUGUAACUAAAUAUAAGCCACCAGAGUUGCCUGCUUUUGUCAUGAGACUAAAAAGACAAGUUUACUUCUUCAGGGAAAAGGGGAAAACACAGUGAUGUGCUCAGUUGCUGUGAAAAGCAAAAGACAAAUCAGAGGUAAUAUAAAAAGUUAUUUGGUACCAUGGAACAAUUGAUGCCGAGUGUCUAAAAUCAUCAUAAAAUGGACUGAAUCUAAAUUUUGGUCAGAUUAAUAUAAAAAAACUAAAAUUAAAAAAGAGCUUGCUUCAUCACUGUAGCACUGGGGCUUCACACAAAUUUCAAAAUGUGCGUGUUACACUAGCAUUGUUAGGAAUAUGAAGGUUGACGGUGAAAUAUUUUAUUUUCUCAAGAUGCUAUACCACGUCGCUCUAAUAAUCUACCACCGCUAUAAAUUUUGUAUUGCCUACCAUUCACAGAAGGCUCUAUUUCAAUGGAUUCAUGUAAAAACACAAUUUUGGCAAAAAUUAAAUUUAUAUACCUGGCUUAGAUAAUUUACACCUUAAAACUGACUUUUGAUUUCAUGUUGGAUGUAUGCAUCUUUAAUUUCUAAACUAAUGUAGAGAGAAUAAAUUGUUAAAAUCUGAUGCAUUUUGCAUGAUACAUAUUUUUAAAAAGAUUUAGAAUGGUUGAAAAUAUGUACACGUUUGGUAGACUUAGUUAUCAAAGACGGUUACUUUUAUUCAAUACCCUGAAAGUGUGUCCAUUGAAAGGCAAAUACAUUUCCAUUUUUCUGUCUUUAAAAUGAGACUGAACUUAGGUCAUUUUCUUAAUCUUGAGAGCUACUUUCUCUUGGUUUAUAUGCAUUUCUGCUAUUGGUGUAACUGAUGAGCAUGGUAAUUGCACAUCAAUUUACCUUGAAACGGAAAAUGAUAAGAACUUUCUGUGGAGCAAAAGGUGGCCAUGUCUGUGAGCUGAAAGUAAAAGCUAGAAAAACAUUUGAUCUCUCAUGUGGGCAACUGAUUUAAGAAAGAAAAGAAACUUCAUCUGUACAUAUUAAUCAAAAAAUUAAUGGUAUAAAUUUGCUAUUUUUCAUUACUUUUUAUAAAUUGGUGAUAGCACUAAACUGUCAAUCAAAUUUUAUCUUUACAUUUAACAAAACAUGUAAAGGUAUCUGACUUCUUGGCUGAAAUAACUUAUUAAUGCCUUACUGUAAUUCAUAAAUAGAAUUUUUUCAUACAUAUUUUGCCCUAAAAUUAAAGGUGUCAAAGAGGGGAAAAAAAUCUGUUUGGACUAUGCAAAUAUUGCUAAGCUGAGCCACUUAUUUUGAAUAUGCCCAUGUGAGCUAAAUAAGAUAAUUAGGGUUUUUCACAUGAUACUGAUUCUGCAUUUGAAAUGCAGAAUCAUAAGAAAUGCUGCACAUAUAAUAAUGGCAAUACUUUAUGUUUUUAUAGAUCUUCAUAGACUAUGAAAGUAUUUUUACAUAUGCAAUUGAGAUUCAUAAUAAUUCUCUGAGGCUCACUUGUUUAAAAAGUAUAUUAAACUAAAUAAGAAAAAGAUAAAGGAAAAUAAGUUUGUUUAUUAAAAAUAUACACACAGUAAUAGAACCGAGUAUGAAGAAAAGGAAAUGUGCUGCAGUUUAAAUAAAGAAGAGACUUAACCUUGGAUGGCCCUGCAGAAUAUUUAAUCCAGUACAGAGGAGGGUUCUUACAGCAAUUCCACUCUUCUGAGCAGUUUAGAAAACAAGCUAGAAAGCAUUCAUUCACUUGGUAGAUUAAAAUAUAUUUAGCAUUUUUUCUUUUCAUUUAGCCGUUCUAAAAUUAAAAGUUAAAUGCAAAUCACACUAUUCAUGGCCAUAUCAUUUUCUUCCUGGUAGUGAACCUCUGGCUCUUUCUGUCUUGUUACAUUAAAUGAUAUCUUAAGAAAAUAAAUGACACCUGGGUUGUUAUAGUCCAUUUGGCUGCCUGGGCUUUUGUGGGUAAGUCUGAACUGAUAUGGGGAAAGGCAUGUUUUACUAUUUGUACAAAGUCUCAAAAAAUAAAAAUUAUACCUCUCUAA